rnacentral:rRNA from 1 species
GCAGGCGCGAAAACUUUGCAAUGCGGGAAACCGUGACAAGGGAACUCUGAGUGCCCGUAAAAUCGGGCUGUCCAUCGGUUUAAAUAACCGGUGAAGAAAGGGCCGGGCAAGACCGGUGCCAGCCGCCGCGGUAAUACCGGCGGCUCGAGUGGUGGCCACUAUUACUGGGCUUAAAGCGUUCGUAGCUGGUCUGUUAAGUCUCUGGGGAAAUCUUCCGGCUUAACCGGAAGGCGUCUCAGGGAUACUGGCAGACUAGGGACCGGGAGAGGUGAGAGGUACUCCAGGGGUAGGAGUGAAAUCCUGUAAUCCUUGGGGGACCACCUGUGGCGAAGGCGUCUCACCAGAACGGCUCCGACAGUGAGGGACGAAAGCUGGGGGAGCAAACCGGAUUAGAUACCCGGGUAGUCCCAGCUGUAAACGAUGCGCGUUAGGUGUAUCGGUGACCACGAGUCACCGAGGUGCCGAAGAGAAAUCGUGAAACGUGCCGCCUGGGAAGUACGGUCGCAAGGCUGAAACUUAAAGGAAUUGGCGGGGGAGCAC